GAGCUAGUAGAUGAGCUUAAAAGCUCACUUAGGCUCUCACAAGUAAGAGCAAUUAUUUAUUGAUGUUGUAAUGUGUAUUAGCUGUUCUGCCAUAAUUUUUGGGGACAUCAUAAAUAAUGUACACCAUAUCAGCUCAAUCAAUUCCCUCUCAGUUAAAGCACACAUGCCUUGGCAUGUCCAUAAUCACUACCUUGGCAUGGCCACCAUCACUGCAACCAACAGCAUCAUGGUAGCCAUAUUGCAAUACAGAGUGCAUGGCAAUGAAUAAAGAAAAUUAUAUACUGC